rnacentral:rRNA from 1 species
CCCUGUGAACAUACCUAAACGUUGCUUCGGCGGGAACAGACGGCCCCGUAACACGGGCCGCCCCCGCCAGAGGACCCCCUAACUCUGUUUCUAUAAAUGUUUUUUCUGAGUAAACAAGCAAAUAAAUUAAAACUUUCAACAACGGAUCUCUUGGCUCUGGCAUCGAUGAAGAACGCAGCGAAAUGCGAUAAGUAAUGUGAAUUGCAGAAUUCAGUGAAUCAUCGAAUCUUUGAACGCACAUUGCGCCCGCCAGUAUUCUGGCGGGCAUGCCUGUUCGAGCGUCAUUACAACCCUCAGGCCCCCGGGCCUGGCGUUGGGGAUCGGCGGAGCCCCCCGUGGGCACACGCCGUCCCCCAAAUACAGUGGCGGUCCCGCCGCAGCUUCCAUUGCGUAGUAGCUAACACCUCGCAACUGGAGAGCGGCGCGGCCACGCCGUAAAACACCCAACUUCUGAAUGUUGACCUCGAAUCAGGUAGGAAUACCCGCUGAACUUAAGCAUAUCAAUAA